UGGGGAAUAUUGGACAAUGGGGGAAACCCUGAUCCAGCCAUGCCGCGUGUGUGAAGAAGGCCCUAGGGUUGUAAAGCACUUUAAGCAGGGAGGAAAGGGUGGUGGCUAAUAUCUAUCAUCAUUGACGCUACCUGCAGAAUAAGCACCGGCUAACUUCGUGCCAGCAGCCGCGGUAAUACGAAGGGUGCAAGCGUUAAUCGGAAUUACUGGGCGUAAAGCGCGCGUAGGCGGUUUGGUAAGUGUGAUGUGAAAUCCCCGGGCUCAACCUGGGAACUGCAUCACAUACUGCCAGGCUAGAGUACGGUAGAGGGGGGUAGAAUUCCACGUGUAGCGGUGAAAUGCGUAGAGAUGUGGAGGAAUACCAGUGGCGAAGGCGGCCCCCUGGAUCGAUACUGACGCU
rnacentral:rRNA from 1 species